rnacentral:rRNA from 1 species
AUUGAACGCUGGCGGCAGGCCUAACACAUGCAAGUCGAGCGGUUGACGGGAGCUUGCUCCCUGAUUCAGCGGCGGACGGGUGCGUAAUGCCUAGGAAUCUGCCUAUUAGUGGGGGACAACGUUUCGAAAGGAACGCUAAUACCGCAUACGUCCUACGGGAGAAAGCAGGGGACCUUCGGGCCUUGCGCUAAUAGAUGAGCCUAGGUCGGAUUAGCUUGUUGGUGGGGUAAUGGCUCACCAAGGCGACGAUCCGUAACUGGUCUGAGAGGAUGAUCAGUCACACUGGAACUGAGACACGGUCCAGACUCCUACGGGAGGCAGCAGUGGGGAAUAUUGGACAAUGGGCGAAAGCCUGAUCCAGCCAUGCCGCGUGUGUGAAGAAGGUCUUCGGAUUGUAAAGCACUUUAAGUUGGGAGGAAGGGCAGUAAGUUAAUACCUUGCUGUUUUGACGUUACCGACAGAAUAAGCACCGGCUAACUCUGUGCCAGCCGCCGCGGUAACAC